rnacentral:rRNA from 1 species
GAUGAACGCUGGCGGCGUGCCUAAUACAUGCAAGUCGAGCGAACAGACGAGGAGCUUGCUCCUCUGACGUUAGCGGCGGACGGGUGAGUAACACGUGGAUAACCUACCUAUAAGACUGGGAUAACUUCGGGAAACCGGAGCUAAUACCGGAUAAUAUAUUGAACCGCAUGGUUCAAUAGUGAAAGACGGUUUUGCUGUCACUUAUAGAUGGAUCCGCGCCGCAUUAGCUAGUUGGUAAGGUAACGGCUUACCAAGGCAACGAUACGUAGCCGACCUGAGAGGGUGAUCCGCCACACUGGCAGUGAGAGACGGUCCAGACUCCUACGGUAGGCAGCAGUGGGAAAUCUUCGGGAAUGGGCGAGAGGCUGAAAGAGCAACGCCGCGGGAGUGAUGAAGGUCUUCGGAUCGUAAAGCGCUGUUAUUGGGGAGGAAGAAAUGUGUAAGGAACUAGGCACGUCUUGACGGUACCUAAUCAGAAAGCCACGGCUAACUACGUG